AAGAGCAGGAGUUAUCGAGAGGAAUACAGGACCUGUUGAAGUUGGAAAGACUUCAGGUGGAGCUUACAGAGCGUUGCGGAGGUCAGCCCACUUUUACCCAAUGGGCUGCUGCUGCCGGAGUUGACCAGAUGACCCUAAGAAAGCGUUUGAACUAUGGCAUUCUUUGUAAAGAUAAAAUGAUUAAGAGCAACGUGAGGCUCGUUAUUUCUAUUGCCAAAAAUUAUCAAGGAGUAGGGAUGAACCUUCAAGAUUUGGUUCAGGAAGGAUGUCGGGGCCUCGUAAGAGGAGCUGAAAA
rnacentral:misc_RNA from 1 species